rnacentral:misc_RNA from 1 species
GAAAAACAAUGUCAUUUGGGGUUGUUUCAAGUAAUGAGCCAAUUGGAAGGUUGCUGAUGUGGCUCCUUGUCAAGCCAAUUCUGUGGUAGUGUGUUUCUCUUAAAUAUGUUUACAGAUGAUUGCUGACUUGCUGCAAAUUAAAAGCAUUACCGAAUUUUCAUGACAAUACUUUUUUCUUACUUCAUUAACAUGCAUUCAACUAAUUAUCUAGGCACUUUGUCAGCAGUUGGGAUUUACAUCUUUACUUUUCUUCCUGUGCAACAGGUCCGGAAAAACACCAUAUACUGAAGCUGAAAUUAAGAAAGCAUUCAGGGCGAAGGCAAAGGAGUUCCAUCCAGAUCAGAAUCAAGAUAAUAAAGAGUUUUAUGAGGCCAAGUUCAAAGAGGUAAUGAUAUCCUACGAGGCUAUUAAACAAGAAAGAAAGGACAUGAAAUCUUGAAAUGGCACGGGCCUAGAAGAUUCCAACCAUUAUAGUUUUUUUAUCUGAUGAAAAUUGAGUUUAAUGCAAAUUAUUUUUUGGGGAUAAUUAAAGUUGUAUUGAUAGUUCCUAUUUUAGAGAGAGGGAGAGAGAUUUUUAUUUUAUCAUUUUAAAAAAAAAAAAAAAUCGAAGUGUAGAUAUAAGGUGAGGCGAGCUAAUGAAGUUACCCUUGUCGUUUUACUUUCUUGCAGUUUAAUUAUAGGGUGUUUUGUGAUGGAAUCCUACAAGCUCUCUUGUAGACGGUUUUAAUUUUAUGUUAUGAGUAGAUCUUUUUUUUCCCCUUGUUUUAAUAGUAUUCUC